rnacentral:rRNA from 1 species
GACGAACGCUGGCGGCGUGCUUAACACAUGCAAGUCGAACGGUAAGGCCCUUCGGGGUACACGAGUGGCGAACGGGUGAGUAACACGUGGGUGAUCUGCCCUGCACUUCGGGAUAAGCCUGGGAAACUGGGUUUAAUACCGGAUAGGACCACUGCCUGCAUGGGUGGUGGUGGAAAGCUUUUGCGGUGUGGGAUGGGCCCGCGGCCUAUCAGCUUGUUGGGGGGGUGAUGGCCUACCAAGGCGACGACGGGUAGCCGGCCUGAGAGGGUGACCGGCCACACUGGGACUGAGAUACGGCCCAGACUCCUACGGGAGGCAGCAGUGGGGAAUAUUGCGCAAUGGGCGCAAGCCUGAUGCAGCGACGCCGCGUGAGGGAUGACGGCCUUCGGGUUGUAAACCUCUUUCAGCACCGACGAAGCGCAAGUGACGGUAGGUGCAGAAGAAGGACCGGCCAACUACGUGCCAGCAGCCGCCGCUG